AAACAGAGCAUCUAGAAAGAACGAGAGAGAGAGAGAGAUGAAGCUAUGGCACGCGAUGGUGUGGUCGUCGAACCAGAACCCAGGCCGGGGGGGGGGGGGGGGGGGGGGGGGGGGGGGGAACCUUCUCUUCGGGAGCCCAACGUCUACGAGUUCGGCACCCCCUACAAGAACAUCUACGACGACCUCCGCCGCAAGGUCCCCGAGCUGUAUAGGCGCAACGGGAUCUUGCCGAUGCUCAAGAGGAAUUCGAGUGUGAAGACUGCACCCCAAACAUGGCAGGAGAAUGCAGCCGGUGGGUGCUUUGAUGUUGUUUUCACCUUCGAAGAGAAGGUGUUCGAUAUGGUCAUUGAAGCUUAAAGCAAUAGAUUGCUGGGAGGAUGCAAUAGAUGGCAUUGUUGCCGUUUUUGAGAAGCAGCGCAAGCAAAAGCUCUUGUAUAGCAUUUCCUUCUACUAGAAGUACAUGGAUGCAGAUUACCUGGGGAUGUAUCCACUUUUGUACUCAAAUCUUGUACCAUGCCCUUAUUAUUCAGCAUGUGAUAGUUUAGUGUGAUUUACUAUUUCAUCAACAUAAAUAGAUAGAUAGACAAAUAGAUAUAUAGAUAGAUAGAUAGAAAAGAUCAUGAUAUACUAUAUAUUAAUCAAACACGAAAUGGAUGAUAGGAAUAUAACCAAUGAGUAAAAGUACAUUAUAAAUUAUAUAAUUUGCAAAUCCAAAAUAUUACUCUUGAAUCUUGAUCUUGAUAUAUAUAUAUAUAUAUAUAUAUAUAUAUAGAGAGAGAGAGAGAGAGAGAGAGAGAGAGAGAGAGAGAGAGAGAGAGAGAGAGUGGGGAUGGUAAAUUAGGAUUUGGUUGAGUGGAUUUUUCCACUCAGAUUCAGUUAGGCCUAUGCAUCAAGUGGUUGAAAGUUGGAUAAUUUAAACAAUAUGAAAUAAUACACGCCAUCAUAAGAAUCAUAAUUAUAAAAGAAGUCAUGGUAGCAGGGCAGGCAAUAGAAUAGCAAGAAUUUCCAAGCAAACUGGUCUGAUUUUUUGACGUUACUAAAUUCUGCCUCAGAUCAUUAAGUAUAUUAAAAAAAAUUACUUUACUAUAUUAUAAGAAUAUAAUUCAAAAGAAAAUAGUCUGGUAUGUAUUAUGUACAGAGUUGCAUAAGUAAAUAUCUAUUUUAGACAAUUAACUGAAAUUUAACAAUUGUAUUCAAUUUCCUCCAAUAUUUUCAGAAUUCAGAGAAUGUCUUGUGACAAUUGUUAUUUUUGUUUUUCGUUGUAUCUAAAUUUUCAUCCUUAUUUCUUGUUUUUCUGUUCUUAAUGUAGAAUAUUAGAUAAAUAAUUGAAAAAAGGUUUAUUCUAACAAUAAUCAUGGAGACAAGAAAUUGCUACUGAAUCAUAAUUUAAUAUUUUUACUAGUACAUAAAUUCCAUUUAUUAUAGCUACCAUGUAAGACAUACCAUAUGACACAACAAAAACAUGACCACAUGAGUUACAAUGGCUCGAAUCAUUGAUGUGGGAUCCCCAUCAUCCAUUUCAAAAAGAUGUAAUAAAAGUUACAAUAGGUGUAGGGGAAUGCAUCAGUUUUCAUCUCAAAAUUUCCAGGGAUAAUAAAAAAGAGAAAAAUACAUCAACUUUAAACUUGACCAAUAACCAUCAUCCAAUCUAUUAUCCAUAUGUGGUCAGUUUAAUUAAUUAACAUCUGGUCAAUCAAAUUUUAGAACUUUUGAUAUCCACAUAAAAUGAGAUGUCAAAAGUUGUUUCAUCCUCUGCUCUUCUUUGCAUUGGGUGUUUGCUAUGUCUGCAUUGUACAUCAAAUUUCUCAUGGAUGGGAAUUAUCCUGCAGUAUGGAAGGCAAUGAAAAGGCCUCCUGCCUCUGUAGCUCUUACUAUAUAUUGUUUCAUCUCUCUGUGGUUUGUUGGUUGUCUCACGUGCUUUCAUUUGUAUCUAAUUGGUACCAACCAGGUCAGUUCUUUCUUUCCUAUUGCUUGAUAGGAUUGAUUACAUGUUCUGUUAUCUUGUUCUAAAUUCAGUUGUACCUGAUAGAAAAUCUGCUAUUGAUGUUCGGAUAUAUAUAUGAUGCAGCACCGGUACAGCCACAGUAGCUUGUUACUAUGUUAAUAAUCUCUAAUUGUAAGCAAGUCUUUUGAUUGAUUACCAAUGUAUGGUCAUCUUAGUCUUGCAAUUUUGAGUCAUAUUACUAAUUCCAUUGUUUGACAGACUCAAACCUAUGGCUCUAUUUUGGUAGGUGCAAUAUGUUGAAAAUCGUUAAAAAAGGGUAGCCCAGUGCAUGAGGCUCCCAUAGUUGCUAAUUAAAAAAAUGUUCAAAACACUAAAUCUGGAUUUACCCAUCUAACAGAAUAGUGCUUCAAAACUUUAAAAAAAAAAAGAACAUGUCAGGAAUGAAGAUGCUGGAGUUAAUUAGAAAUUGAGAAAAAGAAUGUUGGCCAGCUGCUACAAAUGCUUCUCAUUGAAAUCCAUGUUUUUAGUGGAUGGUCACAGGUAAAAAGCCAAUUCUGAAUGUGGGUAUGUGAUUUAUCAAAGUAACAAUGCCAGAAAUAAUUCUCUACUACAAAAUUCAUGCUCUUAGUUCUAAUUUUUGGUUCAACUGUAAUGGUGGAUUAUUCAGAUGCUGUGCUAGGCAUCCUAUUCUUCCCUCUUGCUAAUGAAAUCCUAGUCAAGUUGUGUUAGGUUUGUGCUUUGCUAUCCAAACUUCCAUUUGAUUGACAUUAUAUGACAGUAACAUGUGAAUUUAUACAUAUUUUCAUGAUGCCUAUGAGAAUUACUGAUACAGAGCUGACAAGAGGUCCAAUAUCUAUGCCCAAGGUUGCUUGAGAAACUACCAAGAAGUAUUUUGCACAAGGAUAGAACCUUCAAGAAAUAAAUUCCAUGCCUAUGUACAAGGGGAAGUCAUGAGACCACCACCUUCAGCCAUUUCAGGAGGGUGGAAGAUGAAUCAGAUGGUGACAUGCGUAUAAAAGCUGAAGAUGGUGGGGAUCUACUGAAGAUCUCCCAACACCAUAACUACGAAGAGGCUGAUGAGGAGAUUAGUGGUAGAAAGAGCAAUGGGCUUCAGAAUGCAGUCUCUGAAUCAGAGCUCAUCUCGGGUUCUGAGUUGCAAUUACCCGUCACCAGGUCUGAGUUAAGGUAUUCAAGCUGGGAUGGGAGAGGAGAAAGCUGGGAGAUCCCAAACUGACGCUCUUGCCACAAAUUUUGGUACACAGAAAGUGGGAUGUCAAAAGAAAGGAAAGUACACUGGCCAAGUUUGGAUCCAGUUGAUAUUUUGAAGACUAUCAAGGAAUUGGUCGACGAUCUCCUUUCUGAGGAAAAGAAGACAGAAAAGAAUGUUAGGGCCUUCUUGUUUAGCUUCUUAGGUAUGUUGAGUUCCGAUUGUUCUAGGGCUAGCUGGGAUGUAUAGGAAGUUAAUUGCCAUUACCUGCCCUCUCAUUAGCUUGAUAUUUGUGCAGAAGUUUGUUUCAGUGGUCUUCCUGGUCUGUGAAGGCAUUAUUAUUCUUUCUGUGUAGUGCUACUUCUGUAUUUCUCAAAUAUUAAUCCAUGAGUUUUUUCUUUCCAA